AGCCGAAUGCCCGCUUUGGGGGAGCGAAGGAUGCUCCAGCUGCUGCCCAGGCGAGGUGGCGAUGCCAGGCGGGACUGGCCACGGAUGAUGAAGACCCGGCUUCCCAAGCGAGCCAGUCCGGGGGCUGAGUGCUCCUCGGCCUCGCACCUGCGCAGUUAGUCCUGGCCCAGACCUGCUGCCGGGAUGGCCUCGGUCUACACAGCUUUGCCCACCUUCCAGGCUAGACAUGGACUCACUAAUCCCAGACUGGCCUGGAACUCAUGGAGAUCCUCCUGGCUCAGCCUCCCAGAGUGCUGGGAUUACAGGCGUGCAUCACCAGGCCAGAGGUCGCCGGAGCAGAGCAGCCGAGAGCCCGGAGACGACCCCGCGCGGAGCUGGGGUUCAGUGCGGGUGCCAGACGCGUCGCCUGGGUCUCCAGCCCUUCCGUGUGGGCGGCGCAGCCCCCCGCCCCCUGCCCCAUUGGCUGCCGCCCUGCGGCCCAAAUAAAUCAGCGGGGACAGGCCGCGCCAGGCCCGGCUGCCGAGGCAGAGCUCGGCCAGGGCCAGCGGGGCCCCAGCGGCCCCGGAGAGGCCGGAGGAGAGGGGGAGGACCUCUGAAGAAAGAAAAACAAAAGCAAGGAAAGAAAGGCGACAAAUCUGAGAAACACGAUUUAAAAAAUACAAUUGGAUUCAAAGGAAAUAAAGCGUCCAGAACAUUUACGUAACUGCUUACACACGAGCUUUGCAAAAUGCAGUCCGUUUCAACACUUGGUCCAACUCGCCACGGGACCGGGACCGAAGCGCUGCGAAACCUUGGACGCCGCGGUGGGAACCUUUCUGGGGGCUGCAGUCGAUCGAACUCGGGUUAAAAUUUAAAGCCCUGGAU
rnacentral:lncRNA from 1 species